rnacentral:misc_RNA from 1 species
AGUUUUGGAUGUUUUCUUGACCCCCAUUUUUGUAUUUAAAUCAUUUGAAUGGUUAUAGUGCCAAAUUUCCAGUUGUUUUGAAGAGAUUUUUUUAAAGCAUUUAAAGCUAUAUCAAAUGUAAUGUGAGUGAAGAAAACCUGCGAGUGGAUCCAUGGGGUAUUGUUUUGUGGAUUUUGUAUGAUCAGCCUCUCCAAAAUCAGAACUUUUCAGAAUUUCUUGAAAUAGGCAUUCAGAUUUAAUGUCUCUUUAUACGUUUACUUGAUAAAAAGUAAGUUUGAAUAUUUCUAAACAGAGUUUCUCCAAAGGAUUUUCAAUAUUAGUGGAUAACCUUUCCCACCUUUAGUUAAUCCUCUUUAAAUACAUCCUGAUGAUUGAUGAAUUUGACU